UUUUACCAAAUUCUAAAAUUCAUACUAUAAACUUCAUGCUAUAAAGUUCAAAAUAAAAAAAAGUCUCUUACACAUAUCCUUCAAAUAUCCUUUAAAUAUUAUAGAAAUUAGAUUUUAUGAUAGUUUUCAUGAAAAAAUCUUCACUUCUCUUCUUCAUCGGAAUCAAAAGACUGAAUUAAACUGCAAAUAAGAGUACGUACAUUCAAGUUAUUUAAGGCAAUAUUUUAAAACUUCUUAUGAACAUGACUUUGAAAAGUGUGUAUAGAAAAUAAUGUUAGUAAUUAAAUUUUUCCAGAUGAAACAAUUAAAAUUACUAUCUACUUUGCUUUAAAAAAAAAUUUCUAUAUUACCUGAACAUUCUUUUUUUUCCUCUUGAUUUUCUCGCAGUUUCCUCCAACUUGUUAUUUGAGCUUCUCAUUUUGAUAAUUUCAAAGUUGUACAUACAAAAUAAUUAAAAUAAAUAAACAAAUUAAACUUGACAAAGAUGGAUUAAUUAGAUGUCUUGUGGAGGAAAAGUGAAGGUUCGUAAUAAAUUAAAUAGAAAUAAAAUGGUGAGAAUUAUAAAUGACAGGGGGAACAUUUAAAUAUAUUAAUUGGAAGUUUAGUAGUGGGCCAUUUUAGAUGUAUUAAUUUGAUACAUUAAUUAAAAAUUUAAUGAAGAAUUUAAAUACAUUAAUUGAAAGUUUAGUAGUAGACCAUUUCAGAUGUAUUAAUUAGAUACGUUAAUUAAAAAUUUGAUGAAAAGAAGGGAAAGAAUCACAUGGUGGUGAAGGUGAAGAAAAAUAAAUAUCCUUCAAUUAUUAUAGAAAUUAGAUUUUAUGAUAGUUUUCAUGAAAAAAUCUUCACUUCUCUUCUUCAUCGGAAUCAAAAGACUGGAUUAAACUGCAAAUAAGAGUACGUACAUUCAAGUUAUUUAAGACAAUAUUUUAAAACUUCUUAUGAACAUAAUUUUGAAAAGUGUGUAUAGAAAAUAAUGUUAGCAAUUACAUUUUUUCUGAUGAAACAAUUAAAAUCACUAUCUACUUUGCUUUAAAAAAAAAAGUUCUAUAUUACCUGAGCAUUCUUUUUUUUCUUCUUGAUUUUCUCGCAGUUUCCUCCAACUUAUUAUUUGAGCUUCUCAUUUUGAUAAUUUCAAAAUUGUACAUACAAAAUAAUUAAAAUAAAUAAACAAAUUAAACUUGACGAAGAUGGAUUAAUUAGAAGUCUUGUGGAGGAAAAGUGAAGGAUCGUAAUAAAUUAAAUAGAAAUAAAAUGGUGAGAAUUAUAAAUGACAGGGGGAACAUUUAAAUAUAUUAAUUGGAAGUUUAGUAGUGGGCCAUUUUAGAUGUAUUAAUUUGAUACAUUAAUUAAAAAUUUAAUGAAGAAUUUAAAUACAUUAAUUGAAAGUUUAGUAGUAGACCAUUUCAGAUGUAUUAAUUAGAUACGUUAAUUAAAAAUUUGAUGAAAAGAAGGGAAAGAAUCACAUGGUGGUGAAGGUGAAGAAAAAUAAAUAUCCUUCAAUUAUUAUAGAAAUUAGAUUUUAUGAUAGUUUUCAUGAAAAAAUCUUCACUUCUCUUCUUCAUCGGAAUCAAAAGACUGGAUUAAACUGCAAAUAAGAGUACGUACAUUCAAGUUAUUUAAGACAAUAUUUUAAAACUUCUUAUGAACAUAAUUUUGAAAAGUGUGUAUAGAAAAUAAUGUUAGCAAUUACAUUUUUUCUGAUGAAACAAUUAAAAUC
rnacentral:lncRNA from 1 species